UGCGUCCUGCUGCCUCUCCGUGCGGCGGCUCUCGGUCUCGGCGACUCGGCCUCUCAGAUCCCUCUCCCUCCGGCGUCCUGCUCCCUCCUCUCGGCGCGGCGCUCCCUGCUCCUCCUCCCGGUGCUCCCUGCUCGGCUGCUCCCUCCUCUAGAUGCUCCCUGGCUCCCUGCUCGGUGCUCCCUCCUCCCGACGCUCCUUUCGGCGUCCUGCAACAGCGACGACGCAGGGCGUGUGGGGCAGCAGCAGGAGCAUGCAUUGAUGACGGCGCAUCCGAGUGUCCAGAUGCCUGUGUCUCUAAGCAUUACAGUUCUCGUUGUUUAAUCUAGUUUCUGCUAAUGGGCGAUACACGUUUCCGAGUGUCCAGAUGCCUGUGUCUCUAAGCAUUACAUACGACGUCGAUCUAUUCUACAUCCAGCUUGCCCUGUCAAGGACCUACGAUUCCCUCACCGACGAAUUCAGCUACGCGCUGCUUCUAAUCACGAUCGCAGCCCUGGUUGCUGCCAUCAUCGUCACAUGGAUUUGGUCCGAGAAGGAGUUGGGGGACAAGUGGAGGUGAACGAGGUCUCAAAGUUGUGACGUGGAAGAAAAUUUGGGGCCCCAGUCAGCUAGCUCUCUUGUUCUAGGGUUUUUGUUUUACGGUUUUUGUGCUGUCGUUUUAGGUUUUUUUUUUGCUAAAUAUAGUUUUGUGUUUUUGCGGGCUCGGGCCGGCACGGGCUACUAAAUGGGCCGUGCUAUUCGGGCCGGCCCGGCACGGUCGGGCCUAUACCGUGCCGUGCUCGGGAAGAGGUAUGGGCCCGUCGGGCGGCACGGCACGGCCCGGUUAAGUGGUCGGGCCUAACCGUGCCGGGCUUAAACGGGCCGGGCCGAGUCGGGCUCGGGUUGGGCCGGGCCGGGCCGCCCGUUUGGACAUCUAUAUUUAGCACCAUACCAAACACAUUUUUUUCUAGGUUUUCGCGUUUGCAUGCUGCAACAAGCAGAAGAAGAGGACUACCGUCUACGUAUAAACUAGACCGAGUUCCUUUUCUGCUUACAUCAAGCAGCAGGCAAUAAUUGGUGUGCUCCGUGCAAUCAAGCGAUGCGACGUCGGCAUACACAACCAAUCAUCGCCGGCAAGUCCGAGUUUGAUUUUGGCCUCGGAUUCCACUCACUACUCGGAUGGGUUGUUUAUGUGGCCGUUCAGAUGGUGAAGUAUCAUCAAGCAGUGGUGCACUAGUACGAGCAGCAGCAGCAGCGUCGUGAGGUCACAACUCACAACUCAUGACGAAGGGGAUCAAGCGACCAGACACAAGUCACUGUUUAUUAAUGCGUCAUUUGGAGCAGCGAUGAGACGCUUAGUGAUCUUGUCAUUGAACAGGCUGGAUAUAUAAAUGGACACACAUGUGAGUGUGUGUGCCUUUGUAAGCAUGUCGAUGUAAUCUUUUUUGUGUUUUUCUCUUGGCCUGUUGGCCUAGUUGUCUUUAAAAAAAAACUGAGCUGACAGAGGAUGUCUGCAGGGCCAUUGCAAUAAGUGAUAAUUCAGUGGGAGACGGUGUGUUGGCAGCAAUGUAAUGAUUUCUAGUUAGUACUAACAUGAGGAAUGAUGUCAUCUCACCAAAUUUGAGAAAUAGACUCACAUCUUAGAUGAAGUGAUUUCUC